AUUGAACGCUGGCGGCAUGCUUUACACAUGCAAGUCGAACGGUAACAGGCCUUCGGGUGCUGACGAGUGGCGAACGGGUGAGUAAUGCAUCGGAACGUGCCCAGAGGUGGGGGAUAACGCAGCGAAAGCUGUGCUAAUACCGCAUGUGAUCUGAGGAUGAAGCGGGGGACCAGGCAGCAAUGUUUGGCCUCGCGCCUUUGGAGCGGCCGAUGUCAGAUUAGGUAGUUGGUGGGGUAAAGGCCUACCAAGCCGACGAUCUGUAGCUGGUCUGAGAGGACGACCAGCCACACUGGGACUGAGACACGGCCCAGACUCCUACGGGAGGCAGCAGUGGGGAAUUUUGGACAAUGGGCGCAAGCCUGAUCCAGCAAUGCCGCGUGCGGGAAGAAGGCCUUCGGGUUGUAAACCGCUUUUGUACGGAACGAAAAGGCUCUGGCUAAUACCUGGGGCUGAUGACGGUACCGUAAGAAUAAGCACCGGCUAACUACGUG
rnacentral:rRNA from 1 species